ACAGCGGGAAUUCGGUCUCUGGGCACGCCUCGCCUGUGGAUCCUCACGUGUUUUCUGGUCCUGAUGGUGCAGAGACAUUGGCAGGAAUGGAGACCUGGUCAAGGCUAGGUCUUAAAUAAUGCAAAUGAAGACUCAGAGUAGUGUGUCCAUGCUGCUCUUAAAAGCAGACUCUUGUAAAGUAGCUCUGCUUUCUGAUGCAAAUGCAGGAAGAACACAAAAAGCAUCUGGGUUUGAUGUUGCAUUUCUUCAUAAAAGAGUCAGUAGCCAAUUUGUUGAGAGUAUUGGUAUGAGAGACAGGCAGGUUUGAAAUCCAGCUAAAACCCAAGUUAUUUUUGGUUCUGGGAAUGGGCCAUAGUCUGUUAAUAGUGGAAGCACUAUAAUCAAACAUCUGUGUUCAUCUGUAUUGUCCAUGGCUCUCUGUCAUGGAUUUUCUCAGCAGAGUUUCCUCAGGUGCCAAAAUCAGUGCCAAGAGCCUGACUGGUUGGGAAUGUGCCAUAAAUAUGGGGUUUCAAUGCAGAUUGUUUCUCAAUCUUGACUCUCAGGUGUAAAGUUCCCACUUUGCAGUAUCCUGAGUACAAAUCAGCAGAAAAGAGAGGAGACAAAACCAUUUCUCAGUGGAAGAAAGGGAUUGCUGAACAACAGAGCAAACCAGGAGACUGUAGAAGCAGAGUCCUUGUCCAGAUGAAACCUGUGUGCACCUGAAUUCACAACCCCUGAGUUAACCUGUCUCAUGCUGUUAGUGCUGCUCUUAACCCCCUAUACCCUGCCUGAAUUCCUGGCACUGAAUUUCCAGAUGCUCUUAUUUGUUUGUUUAUUUAUUUAUUUGCUGUCACUUCAAGUCAGAUAGGAAAUUUGAAGGAGCAGUGAUCACUCCCUGUUGGAUACAAUUCAAAUCUCAUGGUCUUCUGUAGUCCAGGUAUACUUUAUAGUCACCUGCAGCAAGAUCCAUCCCUGGAAAAGCUGUGGUGUUUGAAGCUGACUAUAUCAGUCCCUAUUGGUUUGGUUUUCAUCCCUGCUUUUGGAAGUUCUGGGCAGCUCAGCCUUGUUCAGCUGAGCAAGUGAGGGCAGGGGUUCUCCUUAGCCAAGAGCCUGAAGGAGCUCAGGAGCCAGAGUGAUCCCUGCUGAUGCUGCUGCUGUUUGAGAAAGGAUUGUGAGCUGUGGGGUCAACAUCGUGCUCCCAAUGGCUCAGGGGGCUCUGACUCUGAGGCAAAUCCUUUUGUGGCAGAGCAGGCAGAACGUGAUGGGACAGCCUUAGAUUCAUGUGGCAACGUGCAUGUAUUGAAAGACAGCAGUGAAAAAAGCAGGCUGACCAACAGAACCCACAGGAAGCCAUUUUGUGUCCUACAAAACAUAAAUCUAAUACUUACAUUGUUGCCAUCGUGAUAAAUUGUAGUCAACCUGCCUGAAAUAUCUGGCUGUUUGGCAUGUGAGGGAAAGCAGCAUAAACCAGUAAAAUCUGCCAGUGGGUCACUUAGGGAGAAAGCAGCUUCAUUCACACUUAUCUUUUUCUGCAUUUCUUUUCCUUAUUGUAGUUUUCUUUUACUCCAAGGUAAAAGAAGAAGAGCUUAAAUUACUAAACUAUUUUCUUGAUAUUUAGAACAAAAAAUCUGUGGUGCUUCCUUUUUAUACUUCAGCAGUGGCUUUUCUAUUGUCCAGGAGUUAGCAGUAAAAUUACCUUCACUUUACACGUUCCUUGUACUACCCACCUUAAAGUUCUGAUGGCUGUUGUGUGAUGAUCUGUGUUUGGACAGCAUGUGGUGGUCAAGAAAGUGGGGAAGCUGAUCUAAACCCCAAGGUUUUGGGUUGUUUUGGGGUUUUUUCCCCACAAAAAAAAGGGAAUGCUUUUGCUGGCAAUAAGGAAAACUACUACAUGGAUAGGAGAAUUAUUAUUGAAAAGAGGAAAAAAGUCAUCACAAUGCUGUUUAUCACUAUGUUGAAGAAAGUUGCUUUUUAAUCUCAGAAGUACUUUGCUAGCUUUGGGUAGUAAGGGGAGUGAACUAGUCUAGGAAAUUGGUUAUUAUAAAGAAAGAAAAUACAAGGUUCCUAUUUAAAAAGUUUUAAAAAUAAAGUCUAAAUGCUUUGGUUAUAGACCUUAAUUAUUAUUGUUCUGUCUUGCUUGAAUCGUGUGGUCAUUUUUGUCUAUUGCCCUCUCUAUCCUUGGUUAGCAUGAGGGUAAAACCUGAUUGUCUUUGAAAGGCCUAAUGCUGGAACUCAUGGUCAGAAGGAGUUCACACAGUCACCAGGUGAGCAGUGACAUCCAUCCCUGUGCAGCAACAUGGCAGCAAUUCAUCCAGACAUGGAAAACCAUCAAUUUGUGUCAUCACCUUUACUCUAUUCUGAGCUCUUUGAUGCAUUCAGAAAUCAGGGCGUUUUGGGGUGUUCUGUAGAUUUGCUGUGGAAGAGAGAGCAGUUCUCUGCAUGCCAGCAUGAACACAGGGACCUCUGCUGAAGCUUUACCAGUGAAGAAACAACUGUAAGAAGAUCUGUAUCCUAUUUUUGUAGUUUAUAGAUCUAUGUUAUACUGACAGUUUCUGCUGACUUGGAGAAAUAAAUAAUGUCCAAAAUGAUCUUUAUCCAGGAGGUUUUCCUUUACAGUGCUACUGCUGGUAGAUUUUUAGAUAUUUUUUUCAAUUGUGCCUGUACCUCCCACCUCCAGCACUGUUGGUUGUGUCUUUGUGUCCAUUCCAAAUGUGGGAAUGCUUUCAUUUAUGGUAAUAGUUUUAGAUGAAUGUCUGUCUUCCCCCUAGGAGCCAGAUGUGGCAGUUUAUGACUUGCCACCCUCCAAAGAAAUCACUUGUUUGACAGGAGAUGGCCCUGAACAAGGAUCUCUGCUCUUCCAGAACAGUGCAGAGAAACUGAAAUUUCUUGCAUGUGUUUCCAUGCAGGAAUUUGAGAAACUGAUAAUAAAAUACUGUAUUAACUUGUCUUUAGAUUGACAGUUGUAACUUAAUAGAAUUUGGCAAAUGCUGUAAAGAAGAGAGGAAAAAAAUCCCAUCUAUUUGUUUUUAUGGUGGUUUUAUAUGUAUUGACUUAAUAUUAGUUGCUGGGCUGAUACCCUCGUAGCCUACUGCUUCUGUGGCUUGGAAGUAAAAAAUAAAUUACAUUUCCAAACCAGCUCUGAGCAAAAUUAUGAUGGGUUUUGUGUAAACAUUUGAAAAGAGCCAAUCCUGAUUCUCAGCAAACCAGGUGAAUGGAUAUCUUGUUAACUUUUGUUAAUCCUGGGACAGAAUCCAAUAUUAUCCAAAAUUCUUCAUUAUCUGUAUUUUUGUUUUUCUCCAAGAACAGAGGAUGCUACGUGCUCUUACUGGAUUUAAUUUAGUGUUUCAUACAUAAAUCUUUUUGAGAAAGUAUCUGGAAUAACAAAUUAAACAGUUUAAAAAAAUAAAUUAACAGUUAAAAGCCUCAA